rnacentral:rRNA from 1 species
GUGAGGAAUAUUGGUCAAUGGACGAGAGUCUGAACCAGCCAAGUCGCGUGAAGGAAGACGGUUCUAUGAAUUGUAAACUUCUUUUGUGCAGGAAUAAAGUGGGUUACGUGUAACCUUUUGUAUGUACUGUACGAAUAAGGAUCGGCUAACUCCGUGCCAGCAGCCGCGGUAAUACGGAGGAUCCGAGCGUUAUCCGGAUUUAUUGGGUUUAAAGGGUGCGUAGGUGGAUUGCUAAGUCAGCGGUGAAAGUUUGCAGGUUAACUGUAAAAUUGCCGUUGAAACUGGCGGUCUUGAGUGCAAAUGAGGUAGGCGGAAUGUGUUGUGUAGCGGUGAAAUGCUUAGAUAUAACACAGAACACCGAUUGCGUAGGCAGCUUACUGGAGCGCAACUGACGCUGAGGCACGAAAGCGUGGGGAUCGAACAGGAUUAGAAACCCCGGUAGUCC